rnacentral:rRNA from 1 species
UACAGGGGGGGCAAGCGUUGUUCGGAAUUACUGGGCGUAAAGGGCUCGUAGGUGGCCAACUAAGUCAGACGUGAAAUCCCUCAGCUUAACUGGGGAACUGCGUCUGAUACUGGACGGCUUGAGUUUGGGAGAGGGAUGCGGAAUUCCAGGUGUAGCGGUGAAAUGCGUAGAUAUCUGGAGGAACACCGGUGGCGAAGGCGGGUCUCUGGGCAACAACUGACGCUGAGGAGCGAAAGCGUGGGGAGCGAACAGG